rnacentral:rRNA from 1 species
AGUGAACGCUGGCGGUAGGCCUAACACAUGCAAGUCGAACGGCAGCACAGUAAGAGCUUGCUCUUACGGGUGGCGAGUGGCGGACGGGUGAGGAACACAUCGGAAUCUACUUUUUCGUGGGGGAUAACGUAGGGAAACUUACGCUAAUACCGCAUACGACCUACGGGUGAAAGCAGGGGAUCUUCGGACCUUGCGCGAUUGAAUGAGCCGAUGUCGGAUUAGCUAGUUGGCGGGGUAAAGGCCCACCAAGGCGACGAUCCGUAGCUGGUCUGAGAGGAUGAUCAGCCACACUGGAACUGAGACACGGUCCAGACUCCUACGGGAGGCAGCAGUGGGGAAUAUUGGACAAUGGGCGCAAGCCUGAUCCAGCCAUACCGCGUGGGUGAAGAAGGCCUUCGGGUUGUAAAGCCCUUUUGUUGGGAAAGAAAAGCGGCAGGUUAAUACCCCGCUGUUCUGACGGUACCCAAAGAAUAAGCACCGGCUAACUUCGUG